AACGAACGCUGGCGGCAGGCCUAACACAUGCAAGUCGAACGCUCCAGCAAUGGAGAGUGGCAGACGGGUGAGUAACGCGUGGGAACCUACCCUUUGGUUCGGAAUAGCCCAGGGAAACUUGGGGUAAUACCGGAUAAGCCCUUCGGGGGAAAGAUUUAUCGCCAAUGGAUGGGCCCGCGUCGGAUUAGCUAGUUGGUGGGGUAACGGCCUACCAAGGCGACGAUCCGUAGCUGGUCUGAGAGGAUGAUCAGCCACACUGGGACUGAGACACGGCCCAGACUCCUACGGGAGGCAGCAGUGGGGAAUAUUGGACAAUGGGCGCAAGCCUGAUCCAGCCAUGCCGCGUGAGUGACGAAGGUCUUCGGAUUGUAAAGCUCUUUUGGCGGGGAAGAUAAUGACGGUACCCGCAGAAUAAGCCCCGGCUAACUUCGUGCCAGCCGCCGCUGUAACAC
rnacentral:rRNA from 1 species